GCUGUACUACUCUCCUCCAAGUCAUAAAUGCUCUCCCCUACCACUGGCAAUAAAUUAAGAAAUUGUGCAAUAGGUAUCUGUAGCUUAAAAUAAACAAUACACUAACAAGGCUCAAAUACAGGUACAAAUGCAAGCUUAAACGACAGUUCAAUCUAGUGACUAUGAUGAAAAUUAAGAUCUUCCAAAUGUUGAUAUGGCAUCCAAUGGAUUUAAA
rnacentral:misc_RNA from 1 species